rnacentral:rRNA from 1 species
AUGGCAUCCUCCCUCAGGGCAUUGCUUGUUGAGGAUACGGCAGUUCAACGCAUGGUUGUCUCCGCCAUGCUGCGCAAUCAGUUUCACUGCGAGACCACUCUGGCGAAGAAUGGGAAAGAAGCUGUUGACAUGUUCCUCGAGGGCAACACGUUCGAUAUAGUCUUUUGUGAUAGGGACAUGCCCAUAAUGACCGGUCCGGAGGCAGUUGUGAAGAUCCGUGCUAUGGGAGCCACUGAUGUGAAGAUCGUCGGGUUGUCGGAUGACGAUAACGCCAUGGAGGCGUUCAUCAGCGCCGGCGCCGAUGACUUUGUGCCCAAACCAGUGAGGCCUGAGACUGUCGGGCCUAUGAUUCAGGAGGUCAUCAAUAAGAAGCUAGAACAGUUAGCGGCGCUUGCUUGA